CAGGCCUAACACAUGCAAGUCGAACGGUAACAUGACUAGCUUGCUAGUUGAUGACGAGUGGCGGACGGGUGAGUAACGCGUAGGAAUCUACCCAGUAGCGGGGGAUAAGCCAGAGAAAUUUGGUCUAAUACCGCAUACGCCCUUCGGGGGAAAGCAGGGGAUCUUCGGACCUUGCACUAUUGGAUGAGCCUGCGUGAGAUUAGCUUGUUGGUGAGGUAAUGGCUCACCAAGGCGACGAUCUCUAGCUGGUCUGAGAGGAUGAUCAGCCACACUGGAACUGAGACACGGUCCAGACUCCUACGGGAGGCAGCAGUGGGGAAUAUUGCACAAUGGGCGCAAGCCUGAUGCAGCCAUGCCGCGUGUGUGAAGAAGGCCCUAGGGUUGUAAAGCACCUUCAGCAGUGAGGAAAGGUUAGUAGUUAAUACCUGCUAGCUGUGACGUUAACUGCAGAAGAAGCACCGGCUAACUCCGUGCCAGCAGCCGCGGUAAUACGGAGGGUGCGAGCGUUAAUCGGAAUUACUGGGCGUAAAGCGCGCGUAGGUGGAUUGGUCAGUCAGAUGUGAAAGCCCAGGGCUCAACCUUGGAACUGCACCUGAUACUGCCAAUCUAGAAUACGGUAGAGGGUAGUGGAAUUUCCUGUGUAGCGGUG
rnacentral:rRNA from 1 species